CCCCUGAACAAGGCAGUUAACCCACUUUUUAAAUAUAAUUUCAGUUGUUUGAGAAGACAAAAAUCACCAGGAAAUCAGCUCAAAAUUAUUUUAAUUUAGAAAAUCUGUAACCAAGUAAUCACACGCAUAAAUAGAGGCAUGUGAUUUUUAUCAACGUAAUCAAGGUUUAGUAUAUAUGUUUGGGAUUAUUGCGGUCAAUUUGCAGUGUACUAAUGAUUCAUCCUGAUGAGCCCUUCACAGCUAGACAAAUUUCAAAUUCUCGCUGAAGUGGUUGGACACCAAUAUCGGGACAUCACUGUGUACCUCGUCAGAAUGCCUUCGGGAACCACCUUCUUGCACAGACUGAGAAGGAUGUGAAGGUUUUUGACGAGGAGAAACAGAAGGAGAGCUACCGGGGGAGAAUCAAGAAGGGGAAGUAAAGAAGGGCAAGUACUUUGACAUCUGGGCAAAUUACUUGGGUUUGGAAGAAGGACGAAAGGAAGGCAAGACUUGGGGGAACCUCGCUGCUUUUUCGCUCCUAGCUGGAGUCACCAUCCGUUAAGGGUUACCUCGGUGGAAGCUAACAACCUUCUCCAGUUGGACGGUCGACCACCGAAAGCCCUGAUGCCCUGCACUUCAGUGAAGCCCAUUAGACAAAGACCAUCGACUGUCCGAGCACCCCAGGAGGUAUCCCAUCCACCAGAGCCAGUGAGUUCAGAUCAGUCUGGUUCUGAGUCAGAAGGGUACCAGCCUGAUGUCCUCCAUUACCAACCACUCCAACUUUUCAUGACAUCUGCUACAGCUACUGUUGUCGUCAUUAUCUGCUAAGAAAGUUUUCGUGCUCUAUCAUGCUGGGCACAUAUGUGCGAUACACAGAUUUAACUAACUAAAAACACUAGCACUGCAAACACCACUGAGACUGGCUGCCUGUCGUGAACAAGUGACAGGCAGAACCUCCCACCCACACAGCAACCACCUCCUUUAUAUUCCACACACCAGAAUUCUGUAUUUUAGUUUUUGAUUGCCAUGAGUGUACAAAAAAUCUGUGAAAAAUAUUAGUGCCACAACUGUACCAAAAGAAUAUCAAUGUUUUAUGUAUUAAAAUCUUUAAUAUUGCCA